UCUAUGGAAAGGACAAUGCACCGGACAAAAGGCCAUUUUGUCCAGGAAAAAGGAGGAAUGUUACAUCCAAAACAUACUUUCUGAAUUCCUACUAUGUGCCUGACUCAGGCCUAGGAGCUGGGAAUACAAAGAUGCAGUCUUUGCCCUUGAGGAUGGCAAUACAACGGGAGACAGAGACAAGCAACAAACAAUACACUGCGAUGAGCUACAGCAGAAAAAAACUCUUAAUUCAGAAGCGUUUCCUUGUAAGGUAAUUCAUAUUUAUUCAACUUGUACCCUACUCAAAGACCAAAUUAAAUUAUUUCAUUAUUCCCAAGAACUUUCGAAGGGAUAAAAAGGGUUCAUGCCAACCAUUACUAAUGCCUACUAGUGCCACAGACUGGGAGCUCCCUGAGGGCAGGGAUGGCGCUAACCUACCCUCGUAUUCUCUGUGGCAGACAGACAAGUGCCGCACGAGGGAUGCAGCAACCACAGAGGGAUGCGGGGCUUGGAGGUAGGGUUGGGGCCGGGGCUGGCUCGAGCGCGCUCGGGACGUACAGGAAGGGGCCAGAUGCGAUGCUCCACGAGAGCACCAGGCACUCAGUCAAGAGUUGGGCGUAAGUUCGGGCCAAGGCCUCGAAGCGCUCCGGCGACUGGCUAAUCGCUCAAAGGGGCUGCCUAAGUGAGCGCCUUUGAGCCCCCAACCCCGGGUUUCUUCAGUUCCUGGGCCUGGGCUCCAGGCUCUCGGUUCUUCAACACGUCGCCCGGCCCGGUGCAGCAAACAGUUUUUCCUCAACCAUUCCGGGGUUUCUGAGCCGUUCGGCUCGCAGCAGAAAAGUAAAAAAAGAGCCGCCCUUCCAGCCCAGGCUAGCUCCGGCCGGGCCACUCUAGCCCUGGCCGCCCCGCCACUCACCAGGUUGGGCAGUCGAACAGCGGGAGGCUAGAGCCGGAGUUCGCGGCUGCCGCCAUCUUGCGUCUCCCCCUCCCAUUUGGCGCGCCCUAAGCACGCCGGGAAACUGGAAGACCGAGAAGGGAAAAGCGGCAUCCCAGCAGCCUACGCGUUGGGAGGAUUAUCUGACCAGUUUUUCCUUUUUUAAAUAAAUCAAUUGCUAAGUUCCUGUUCAUCCAGAAAGAGGCACUGCUCAGCAAGUUGAGGAAUCUAUGAUGAAAGUAGUUCUUUUCUUGCUUCCAUGCUACUGGUUCUGUAGAAAAUCAGCCUAUUCAAAAGAUUUUUGCCCUUGAUGAAGUCUCCAGCCCUCAAGAUUUAACUGCAAUAUAACUUAGAAGGAGUGAGAAGAUCAAAAAAGUAACUGCAAUAUAACAUUAACUUGGAUUUUAAGAUUAUCAACUCUUAGGUAGACUGGAGAAACACCUUUUCCUCUGGCCUUUAAAGCACAAUAAACUUAUCCAGCAAGGAUGGCGACUAAUCAGAUCACUUAUCAAAUGGCCUGUUAAUAUCCUCCUUUUCAGCCUUGUGAUUCCAAAGUAAGACUAGGCUGAUUGGAAAAAUUCAAAUUCUAAACUUGGUUUCAAGAAAACAGAAAUAAUCCUAUGUCCCUCUCUUCUGAAUACAGGGCAUGAUUUUUUAGAAGGAAUUAGUCCCAAAAGUUUUUGAGUCUAACAGAAAAGAAGAAGAUACUUUUACCUACAGAAAUUGUGUGGGCCUUUGAGGUUCUAUGCUCCUUUUAGGCAUAACAUGGUGUUGAAGCCAUUUGCAGUUAGCAGUGACCUGAUAGUAUCUUAUGGCAACUUUGUAUUUCAACUUCUCAGCUUGUGUGAUCCUUCUAUUGCUGACUAUAGACCCAGGAAACCUAAAAGCUACAUCUUACCUUUCUAAUUCUUUACUCCUUGGCCAUGUUCUGUUUCUAGCACAGUAGAUAUUCACACGUGGCACCUUAUGCUUACCUAGGCCCUCAUAAAGCAAAAUGCUCUUUGUUUGGGCACCAAUGAUGUCAGUAUAGACCAGCAAACUAGAGGGCAGCAAUCUAGGUCCUUAACCUUUUAAAAUAGACUGAUGUACUAGCUGCCUUUGGAUUUUGGUAUCUCAAUAAAGAGAUUAGUAUGUUG